rnacentral:rRNA from 1 species
GAUGAACGCUCGCGGCGUGCCUAAUACAUGCCAGUCGAGCGAACGGACGAGAAGCUUGCUUCUCUGAUGUUAGCGGCGGACGGGUGAGUAACACGUGGAUAACCUACCUAUAAGACUGGGAUAACUUCGGGAAACCGGAGCUAAUACCGGAUAAUAUUUUGAACCGCAUGGUUCAAAAGUGAAAGACGGUCUUGCUGUCACUUAUAGAUGGAUCCGCGCUGCAUUAGCUAGUUGGUAAGGUAACGGCUUACCAAGGCAACGAUGCAUAGCCGACCUGAGAGGGUGAUCGGCCACACUGGAACUGAGACACGGUCCAGACUCCUACGGGAGGCAGCAGUAGGGAAUCUUCCGCAAUGGGCGAAAGCCUGACGGAGCAACGCCGCGUGAGUGAUGAAGGUCUUCGGAUCGUAAAACUCUGUUAUUAGGGAAGAACAUAUGUGUAAGUAACUGUGCACAUCUUGACGGUACCUAAUCAGAAAGCCACGGCUAACUACGUG